rnacentral:rRNA from 1 species
GGGUUGUGAGGUUAAGCGACUAAGCGUACACGGUGGAUGCCCUGGCAGUCAGAGGCGAUGAAGGACGUGCUAAUCUGCGAUAAGCGUCGGUAAGGUGAUAUGAACCGUUAUAACCGGCGAUUUCCGAAUGGGGAAACCCAGUGUGAUUCGUCACACUAUCAUUAACUGAAUCCAUAGGUUAAUGAGGCGAACCGGGGGAACUGAAACAUCUAAGUACCCCGAGGAAAAGAAAUCAACCGAGAUUCCCCCAGUAGCGGCGAGCGAACGGGGAGCAGCCCAGAGCCUGAAUCAGUGUGUGUGUUAGUGGAAGCGUCUGGAAAGGCGCGCGAUACAGGGUGACAGCCCCGUACACAAAAAUGCACAUGCUGUGAGCUCGAUGAGUAGGGCGGGACACGUGGUAUCCUGUCUGAAUAUGGGGGGACCAUCCUCCAAGGCUAAAUACUCCUGACUGACCGAUAGUGAACCAGUACCGUGAGGGAAAGGCGAAAAGAACCCCGGCGAGGGGAGUGAAAAAGAACCUGAAACCGUGUACGUACAAGCAGUGGGAGCACGCUUAGGCGUGUGACUGCGUACCUUUUGUAUAAUGGGUCAGCGACUUAUAUUCUGUAGCAAGGUUAACCGAAUAGGGGAGCCGAAGGGAAACCGAGUCUUAACUGGGCGUUAAGUUGCAGGGUAUAGACCCGAAACCCGGUGAUCUAGCCAUGGGCAGGUUGAAGGUUGGGUAACACUAACUGGAGGACCGAACCGACUAAUGUUGAAAAAUUAGCGGAUGACUUGUGGCUGGGGGUGAAAGGCCAAUCAAACCGGGAGAUAGCUGGUUCUCCCCGAAAGCUAUUUAGGUAGCGCCUCGUGAAUUCAUCUCCGGGGGUAGAGCACUGUUUCGGCAAGGGGGUCAUCCCGACUUACCAACCCGAUGCAAACUGCGAAUACCGGAGAAUGUUAUCACGGGAGACACACGGCGGGUGCUAACGUCCGUCGUGAAGAGGGAAACAACCCAGACCGCCAGCUAAGGUCCCAAAGUCAUGGUUAAGUGGGAAACGAUGUGGGAAGGCCCAGACAGCCAGGAUGUUGGCUUAGAAGCAGCCAUCAUUUAAAGAAAGCGUAAUAGCUCACUGGUCGAGUCGGCCUGCGCGGAAGAUGUAACGGGGCUAAACCAUGCACCGAAGCUGCGGCAGCGACACUAUGUGUUGUUGGGUAGGGGAGCGUUCUGUAAGCCUGUGAAGGUGUACUGUGAGGUAUGCUGGAGGUAUCAGAAGUGCGAAUGCUGACAUAAGUAACGAUAAAGCGGGUGAAAAGCCCGCUCGCCGGAAGACCAAGGGUUCCUGUCCAACGUUAAUCGGGGCAGGGUGAGUCGACCCCUAAGGCGAGGCCGAAAGGCGUAGUCGAUGGGAAACAGGUUAAUAUUCCUGUACUUGGUGUUACUGCGAAGGGGGGACGGAGAAGGCUAUGUUGGCCGGGCGACGGUUGUCCCGGUUUAAGCGUGUAGGCUGGUUUUCCAGGCAAAUCCGGAAAAUCAAGGCUGAGGCGUGAUGACGAGGCACUACGGUGCUGAAGCAACAAAUGCCCUGCUUCCAGGAAAAGCCUCUAAGCAUCAGGUAACAUCAAAUCGUACCCCAAACCGACACAGGUGGUCAGGUAGAGAAUACCAAGGCGCUUGAGAGAACUCGGGUGAAGGAACUAGGCAAAAUGGUGCCGUAACUUCGGGAGAAGGCACGCUGAUAUGUAGGUGAAGCGACUUGCUCGUGGAGCUGAAAUCAGUCGAAGAUACCAGCUGGCUGCAACUGUUUAUUAAAAACACAGCACUGUGCAAACACGAAAGUGGACGUAUACGGUGUGACGCCUGCCCGGUGCCGGAAGGUUAAUUGAUGGGGUCAGCGCAAGCGAAGCUCUUGAUCGAAGCCCCGGUAAACGGCGGCCGUAACUAUAACGGUCCUAAGGUAGCGAAAUUCCUUGUCGGGUAAGUUCCGACCUGCACGAAUGGCGUAAUGAUGGCCAGGCUGUCUCCACCCGAGACUCAGUGAAAUUGAACUCGCUGUGAAGAUGCAGUGUACCCGCGGCAAGACGGAAAGACCCCGUGAACCUUUACUAUAGCUUGACACUGAACAUUGAGCCUUGAUGUGUAGGAUAGGUGGGAGGCUUUGAAGUGUGGACGCCAGUCUGCAUGGAGCCGACCUUGAAAUACCACCCUUUAAUGUUUGAUGUUCUAACGUUGACCCGUAAUCCGGGUUGCGGACAGUGUCUGGUGGGUAGUUUGACUGGGGCGGUCUCCUCCUAAAGAGUAACGGAGGAGCACGAAGGUUGGCUAAUCCUGGUCGGACAUCAGGAGGUUAGUGCAAUGGCAUAAGCCAGCUUGACUGCGAGCGUGACGGCGCGAGCAGGUGCGAAAGCAGGUCAUAGUGAUCCGGUGGUUCUGAAUGGAAGGGCCAUCGCUCAACGGAUAAAAGGUACUCCGGGGAUAACAGGCUGAUACCGCCCAAGAGUUCAUAUCGACGGCGGUGUUUGGCACCUCGAUGUCGGCUCAUCACAUCCUGGGGCUGAAGUAGGUCCCAAGGGUAUGGCUGUUCGCCAUUUAAAGUGGUACGCGAGCUGGGUUUAGAACGUCGUGAGACAGUUCGGUCCCUAUCUGCCGUGGGCGCUGGAGAACUGAGGGGGGCUGCUCCUAGUACGAGAGGACCGGAGUGGACGCAUCACUGGUGUUCGGGUUGUCAUGCCAAUGGCACUGCCCGGUAGCUAAAUGCGGAAGAGAUAAGUGCUGAAAGCAUCUAAGCACGAAACUUGCCCCGAGAUGAGUUCUCCCUGACUCCUUGAGAGUCCUGAAGGAACGUUGAAGACGACGACGUUGAUAGGCCGGGUGUGUAAGCGCAGCGAUGCGUUGAGCUAACCGGUACUAAUGAACCGUGAGGCUUAACCUUACAACGCCGAAG